rnacentral:rRNA from 1 species
UGGGGAAUAUUGCGCAAUGGGCGAAAGCCUGACGCAGCGACGCCGCGUGAGGGAUGAAGGUUUUCGGAUCGUAAACCUCUGUCAGAAGGGAAGAAACCGCACUGUGCUAAUCAGCAGUGCCUUGACGGUACCUUCAAAGGAAGCACCGGCUAACUCCGUGCCAGCAGCCGCGGUAAUACGGAGGGUGCAAGCGUUAAUCGGAAUUACUGGGCGUAAAGCGCACGUAGGCUGCUUUGUAAGUCAGGGGUGAAAUCCCACGGCUCAACCGUGGAACUGCCUUUGAUACUGCUUAGCUUGAAUCCGGGAGAGGGUGGCGGAAUUCCAGGUGUAGGAGUGAAAUCCGUAGAUAUCUGGAGGGACAUCAGUGGCGAAGGCGGCCACCUGGACCGGUAUUGACGCUGAGGUGCGAAAGCGUGGGGAGCAAACAGG